rnacentral:rRNA from 1 species
AACGCAGCGAAGGGCGAUAAGUAAUGUGAAUUGCAGAAUUCAGUGAAUCAUCGAAUCUUUGAACGCACAUUGCGCCCCUUGGUAUUCCGAGGGGCAUGCCUGUUCGAGCGUCAUUAUAACCACUCAAGCCUGGCUUGGUAUUGGGGUUUUCGCGUGUUCGCGGCCCUUAAAAUCAGUGGCGGUGCCGUCUGGCUCUAAGCGUAGUAAUUUCUCUCGCUAUAGGGUUCCGGUGGUUACUUGACCCAAAACCCCCCAUUUUUUCUAGGUUGACCUCGGAUCAGGUAGGGAUACCCGCUGAACUUAA